rnacentral:misc_RNA from 1 species
UUUCCGUAGGUGAACCUGCGGAAGGAUCAUUAAUGAAUUUAACAGCAGAGUUGUCGCUGGCCAUCUGGCAUGUGCACGCUCUGCUAAUUCAUCCACACACCUCUGUGCACCUUUCAUAGAUUGACAUACGGUAGAGUUCAUUCUUUGCCAGUCUUUCUGUGUUAUAUCACUACAAACAUCAGUAUUAGAAUGUCUACUUGCGAUAAACGCAUCAAAUACAACUUUCAACAACGGAUCUCUUGGCUCUCGCAUCGAUGAAGAACGCAGC